rnacentral:misc_RNA from 1 species
UGCAGACUCUUGAAAGGAUUGAAUUCAAAGGCAAUCAUGGGGAAUGGAUUGACUCAGUGAAACCAGAUUUGGAUCCUGCUCUAAUGGAGCAAUUAAAUGAGAAGUUGGAGAUAUCAGAUACAACGGUUGAAAACUUCAAGUCUGUUAGAAAUGAAACCCGUAUGGCUAUUAAUUCUCUUUUAAAGGAUGAUGGAGUUUUAGUCAUCCCCACCACGGUAGAUCCUCCUCCGAAACUAGGUGGAAAAGAGAUUUUUUCAGAAGAGUACCAGACUCGUGUAUUUAGUUCAUUGAGCAUUGCAAGCAUAUCGGGUUGCUGUCAGGUCACCUUGCCACUGGGAUUUCACGAUAAUUGUCCUCUAUCUGUGUCCUUCUUAGCCAGGCAUGGGGCAGAUCGCUUUUUA